AUAAGACCUGAAAGACUCACUUCCAUC
rnacentral:tRNA from 1 species